UACAGAGGGGGCAAGCGUUGUUCGGAAUUACUGGGCGUAAAGGGCGCGUAGGCGGCCUGCUAAGUCGAACGUGAAAUCCCCGGGCUCAACCCGGGAACUGCGUCCGAUACUGGGGGGCUUGAAUCCGGGUGAGGGAUGUGGAAUUCCAGGUGUAGCGGUGAAAUGCGUAGAUAUCUGGAGGAACACCGGUGGCGAAGGCGGCAUCCUGGACCGGUAUUGACGCUGAGGCGCGAAAGCCAGGGGAGCAAACGGG
rnacentral:rRNA from 1 species